AUAUAUGAAAAUUUUAUGUGUAUUAAAGUAUUAUUCUGUUUUAAAUUUAAGAUUCCUUUUGGGAAAAUUAUAUGGACUGGGAUGUUGUUCAGAAGGUAAUACAAUAAUUUCUCAGGAUAUUUAAUUAAUCAAUGGAAAAAUAAAAAAAAUAAAAAAAUAAAUGUGUGAAGUCCGAAUAGCAACAAAUUUAAGUCAAAGAGACGC
rnacentral:lncRNA from 1 species